rnacentral:lncRNA from 1 species
UCACCUGCCUUCUGCCCUUAAGCUCCGGUAGAUUGCAAAUAACCUGCUUUCUUUCUGUUCCCGAGCUGCGUUCGGACCCAUGUCUUAUUGUAAAUCCCACGCAAGGUACCUGCCGUCGGAAGAUUUGAGCUUUCUUCUUGAACACCUCAUACCCACAGUCCUCCAGGUGGUUCCUAAGGAUCUUAGGAUCCCCGAUGGGCGUCCUAAGCCAGUGGGGGAAGAGGGGCUGGCUCUCAGUCCCCGCCUUGCGGGGGGUGUCUCCCCACCCUGUGAUGGGGGUCACAAGAGCCAGAGGGGGAAGAGGGGCUGGCUCUCAACCACCACGAAAUGGGAGGCCUUUAUGUUCAGGUUUUGCCCAAGACUGCGUUCGGACCCGUCUGAUCGUAAAUCCCAUGUAAGGUACCUGCCGUCGGAAGAUUUGAACGUUCUACUUGGACACCUAAAACCCACAGUCCUCCAGACAGAAAGACAACAGGUACAAAGCCCUAAGGAUUAUAAAGGUAUGCUGCUUACCAUCAUCUUAGUGACCAAGGCAGCGAAGCUGUUUCUGUACCUUGGAACAGUCUUCCCUGACAAGCCAGAGAACAGUGAUAAAGCCACCAGCCUUGGGAUCAGGACUGAAAAGGCAAGAGUGAUGGAGAUUUCUCCUGCGCUAAGCCAAGAGAAGGUUUCAGCACUUCAGACAGCUCCCACCGAAGUAGCCGCGCUCCCAGCUGCUUGCAGAUGUUGAAAAGGAAAGCCUCGGUUUGUCUUGAGGUUGUCAGCAGGUGCAAGACACGUAAUAAAAUGCAAUGUGUUCCUAA